rnacentral:rRNA from 1 species
UACAGAGGUCCCAAGCGUUGUUCGGAAUUACUGGGCGUAAAGGGCUCGUAGGUGGCCAACUAAGUCAGACGUGAAAUCCCUCGGCUUAACCGGGGAACUGCGUCUGAUACUGGAUGGCUUGAGAUUGGGAGAGGGAUGCGGAAUUCCAGGUGUAGCGGUGAAAUGCGUAGAUAUCUGGAAGAACACCAGUGGCGAAGGCGGUCAACUGGCCCGAAGCUGACGCUGAGGCACGAAAGCGUGGGGAGCGAACAGG